rnacentral:lncRNA from 1 species
AUUUUCGGCCAAAUCCAAAGGGUGAUUUUUUGGGUUCUUGUUUGACUUGUUAAAAGUGUUUUCAAGUGACUUUUGGAACCCCUAUGUACCCUAGUUUGGUUAGAUGUUAUUUCCCUUAAGUUUGAAUGUUUUUGGAAUGUUUUUGGGUGAAAAAUGUUCAUGGAAAUUUUUGGGUUUUUCAUGAAUGUUCUUCAUUGUUCUUGACAUUUUUGCCAAGAACAAAAAGGUUUGGUGUUUUGAUUCAAAGUUUUGAUUAAUUUCAUAAAGUCUUUGUUUUGUGUUGAUUGGUGUGAAAUAUCUAUCAUCAAAACAUUUAUAUUUUUUGAAAGGUGAUAGAAAUUGUGAUGGGUGUGUAAGACUUACACACCUUACACACCACAUGCAUGGUUUUAUGAUUCACAACAACCAAAUUCCACUUGCAAGGCUUUAUGAAAUUGUUGAAAAAAUUUCCAAAUUUUUGUGGACUUAUCUCCACUCCCUUU